rnacentral:lncRNA from 1 species
GUCUGCUUGUGAACAGACUGGAGAUAGAGCCUAGAGUCUCGCGCACACACCGGGCAAGCACUGUACCCCUGCUGUACUCGUAACUCGUGGUAUUUCUUUUUGCACACUUUUCAAAUGAUGAUGUCCGGAAGUUGGGAGAGUCAAGGAAACAGCUAGUAUCCUUUUUCCUAUGCUUAGGAAACAAAGCCGAUUUGUGGUGAGAUGCCAGGCAGGAGGAGAGCUUAGGCUUCUCAGUUCUGAGCCCCACAUCCAGCCACCAGGCCACUCAGGCCCUCGCGCUGGAAGACUCAGACUGGGGAGAGAUCCUCUACUCGUCUCUACCACUUUGUCAGAGUUCUUCGUCUAGAUCAAUAUCCCAAGUAUUUAUGUAGCAUCUGGUUCUUAGGAGAGAGGUGGAAGGAGACGAUUCUAGAACUGUUCAGUGGAAACCCUGUUUGAUGUUCUUGCACACACCAUGUGGGACUUUUUAGAACUUGUUGACCUCUAGCUGCCCAGCAUGAAAGCAAGACUGGAUUAGGGAGCCCUUAGACCAGUGGAUCUCAACCUGUGAGUGGCCACCCCUAUGGGGGUGGAAUGAUCCUUUCACGGGGGUCACCUAAGACCACUGGAAAACAUAGAUAUUUACAUUACGAUUCGUGACAGUAGCAAAGUUAUAGUUAUGAAGUAGCAAUGAAAACAUCGUUAUGGUUAGGGUCUCACCACAACAGGAGAACAGUACGUAAAGGGUCGCAGCCUUAGGAAGGUUGAGAACCAUUGCUUUUUUCAGACAUUUACAUUCACGGUAGAGUCCCAGCGGUAUUUCAAAGAUUCAUCGGUAUGAAAUGAAGAGGGCUAUCUGGGGAGCAAGUGGUAUUCUCUUCAUAAAAAUGAACACAGGCAAACUACCCACUCUGUCAGCAUGCUGCUUAAAGGGUUACAUUAUUCCUGCUAAUUUUCCACAUCACAGGCUGGAAAUACAAGCUAAGUGAGGCGAGCUGGUUUGCUUGGCACUGUCCAGACAGUCAGAAGCAAGACAAGGUUCAAACCAGGCUUCCUGAUCCAGAAACCCUGCUCCACUACCCUCCUGCGUAGUCCAAGGUAUAUCUCAGACAGGCCACCAGCCUCAAAGCCCAAUCCAUAGACACAGGUGAGCUCUGGGGGAUGGAACCUGCAUUGGAGUCUACAGUUUUUCACUUCCUAGCUGUAAGACUUGGGAUCAAGUUCCAUCCUAUCUUUAGUUUCUGUUCUCUUGUCUAAAAAGAAAUGGGACUAAGGACAUGUAAAGAUUAAGUUUGACGCCACAUUUCAAUUAUUUAUCGCAAUGCGCAACAGACAGUCUCUCCAAACUAUUAACUACUGAAGUGCUAGGGUGAAGACACAAUUAAAUCAAUAAGUGGUUUUGUUUUGACCUCUGUGUGACAGUUCUCAAUUGUUAUAAAGAAGGAGCUGAGGAAGCAGAGACAGAAGUGUGCAGAACACAUGAAGGCGAAGGGAAGGAGGAACCAGGAGGAAUGUCAGCAAGUGUGCAGUGCAGAGAAACGUUAAGGAGACCAAAUUAUUUUUAGAGCAAUGCAGACAUAAAUUGUUCUCUUAACCCUAUUUUACCAUGGCUCUGGGACGUAUCAGAUCUCACCAGCGUGUUGAAAGGGUUUUGGGUUGUAAAGAAUAAUGUCAACUCUCCCUAGACUCUGUCCACCAUUCUUGGCAAGCUCAUAAGCUGGUGACAUCUGGGUGUGUCAUAUGCAGAAGUGACGGGCACUUGCAGAAUAAAAGGAGGGAUUCAAGGACUGCAAGAUAAGGGAUUUUCCCUUUCUCCUGGAUAGCUAGAGCCAACUCUACCCUAGUAGGCACUGAAUACAGAGGUGUGGUACAAAGGCCCUAUGGUGAAGGACAGAUCCAUGUGUUCAGAGGCAUUCUCCUGCCUACAGUGACCCAGGAGGCCCGUUCAAAGACCAGGAAUCUGGUAGCCUUUGCAAGGUAACAGCCAAGCUUAGGUUUCUUAUGUUUAGUGAUGUUUAGCAUGUCUUAUGCACUAAGACUUGGCAUUGCACAUUUAAAAAGGUUUCUUUUUUAUCUUACGUGUGUGAAUGUUUUGCCUCCGUGUCUAUCUGUGCCCCACGUGCAUGCAGCGCCCACAGAGGCCAGAAGACAGCAUCAGAUCCCCUGGAACUGGAGCUAUAGAGGGUUGUGAGCUGCCAAGUGGGUGCUGAGAACCAAGCCUGGGUCCCCUGCAAGAACAAAUCCUCUUAACCACAGAGCCACAUCCCUCCAUUUACAUCUUACACCUUACCAUUUAAAAAAAAAUAAAUGAGAGCUGGCGAGAUGGCUCAGCAGGUAAGAGCACUAACUAAUGUCCUGAGUUCAAAUCCCAGCUGUGGGGAGCAGGUGUGGCGGUAGUCCCAAGAUGGCGCCCGGGACUGCAGCCAAGUCUUAUGACUUGCACCUGACUUCCUCAUACACCUGAAAAUAAGCCACGUCCAUCGUGAGAGCUGCACAGGCACACCAUGACGCAAGAUCAGGCCAUUUGACGAACGCCAAUGAACUGAGAUUACAUGGACUGGGCUGAUGGGGCGAGGUUGAGGGGUUAAAUAAGGGAUUGUGAUAGGGGGCUAAAGGAAGAUUCCUGUUUGCAUGUUGAGAGAUUCCUGCUUGCAUGUUGAAAGGUUCCUGAAUAAACUGCUUUGAG